UCCUUUUGUCCUCUUUUCAAUUGCCUUUAAAUAAAAGAGGUAUUUUCUACUCCUUUGACUUCAAAAUUAAUGGUGUAAGGGCAGGAUGAUGUUAGGAUAGAUCACAGUUUCAAGCAGUGUGGAUUACUAGUUCUAUUGCAAAACUUUAGUAUAUCAAAUCCAAUUGAUCUAAGCAUCUCAUAGCUUAAUGCUUGCUUGCACAAACUGUAGAUAUGUGCUGCAUGUAAAUAUAGCUGCUUGCCUGCUGUUAGCUUUCCUUUCCUUUGAGCAUCUCCUUUCCUGAACUUGCAAAUAUUGUCUACUUGCAAAAGGUUUGGUUUCUCUGAAUAAAAAUUUUUGAUGCUCAAGUUCCAGCACUCUUAGAAAGCUGUAGGAUGGGAUAUUAAUUUAGCCCUCUUUUUCCAUGCUUAGGUAAGGCUUGGUGGUGACUAAAAUUGGUAAGAGGUCAAACCAGAGGCUUAAUAUAUCUUCUUCUUCUUCCAUAACAUUAACAAUUUAGUGUACAUUCAAGAAAACCUUUGACCAUUUUUUAAAAGCGUGCACUUUUUUUUUCUUUCGUUAUUUUGUAGGCUUUUGGUUUGUUUUAUAUAAUUUUCAAUUGUUGGCAACAUCAAUAAAAAAUUUUUUGAUUCUGAAAGGUAAUCGUUACUGAAGCCUAUAUAGAAUAGCAUAUGCUUCCAUCUCAUAUUCUAGUGAGAACAAGUCACCUUAUUAGCAUGGUUCUUUUUCGUGUGCAGUGGUUUGGAAUCCCUGGGAUAAG
rnacentral:misc_RNA from 1 species